GGGGUGAGGGGGGGUGAGGAGGGGGUGAGCUGGAGGCCACAAUACAGAGCAAUGAAUAACCCGCCAGGUUACCGGACUAACCCGUCCAGGUUACCGGACUAACCCGCCAGGUUACCGGACUAACCCGCCAGGUUACCGGACUAACCCGUCCAGGUUACCGGACUAACCCGCCAGGUUACCGGACUAACCCGUCCAGGUUACCGGACUAACCCGCCAGGUUACCGGACUAACCCGCCAGGUUACCGGACUAACCCGCCAGGUUACCGGACUAACCCGUCCAGGUUACCAGACUAACCCGCCAGGUUACCGGACUAACCUGCUAGGU